CUCCUCGAUUCCCAGGGGAUCCCCCCUCGAUUCCGGCUGGAUCCCCCUCGAUUCCAGCUGGAUCCCCCCCUUUUUUCCCCAGGGGAUCCCCUCUAUUCCCGCUCAAUCCCGAGGGAUCCCCCGGGGUCGAUCCCAGCUGGAUCCCCACUCACACACACAGAUCCCCGCUCCUGGUGCCGGUCCCGGCGGAUUCCAGGGGGAUCCCGGUGGAUCCGGCCAGAUCCCCACUCACAAGGAUCCCCGAUCUCGCCACCCGUCCCGCCAGAUCCCGGCUGAUCCCGGCGGGAUCCCAGCAGGAUCCCCCCUCGCAGGGCCCCCAGUUCUUGUUGCCAGUCCCGGUGGAUCCCGGUGGAUCCCAGUGGAUCCGCUCUCGCCGUUGCUCCCAUCAGAUUCCAGCAGAUCCCAGCCAAUUCCCGCUGAUUCCAAGGGGAUCCCCGCAGAUCCAGCAGGAUCCCCUCUCGCAGGGACCCCAGUUCUUGUUGCCAGUGGAUCCCGGCAGAUCCCGGUGGAUCCAGCGGGAUCCCCUCUCGCAGGGACCCCAGUUCUUGUUGCCAGUCCCGGUGGAUCCCGGUGGAUCCCAGUGGAUCCGCUCUCGCCGUCGCUCCCAUCAGAUCCUGGCAGAUCCCAGCCCAUUCCCGCUGAUUCCAAGGGGAUCCCAGUGGAUCCGGCAGGAUCCCCACUGCCAGGGACCCCAGUUCUUGUUGCCAGUGGAUCCCGGUGGAUCCCCGGGACCGGCUCUCGCCCAUUGGAUCCUGGCAGAUCCCGGCCAAUUCCUGCUGAUUCCAAGGGGAUCCCGGAAGAUCCAGUGGGAUCCCCUCUCGCAGGGACCCCAGUUCUUGUUGCCAGUGGAUCCCAGCGGAUCCAGCAGGAUCCCCUCUCGCAGGGACCCCAGUUCUUGUUGCCGGUGGAUCCCGGUGGAUCCCGGUGGAUCCCGGUGGAUCCCCGGGACGGGCUCUCAGCGGGGCGGGCGGCCCAGCCUGCGGAAGACGCCACCGGAGCUGCUGCUGGACACGGCGCCGUCCUGCGCCGCCGGCCCGGCGCCCUCGCGGCGCCGCUUCAGCACGCCGGCGUACGGCAGCGCCUCGGGAUCCGCCGGAUCCCCCGGCCGAUCCCCCGGCGGAUCCCCCGGCGAGUCCCCCGGUGCCGCGCCCAGGCGGCUGAACACCCCCGAGGGCUGCGGGGACGCGGGUGCAGGGUGGAUCCCGGAUCCCCC
rnacentral:lncRNA from 1 species